AACGAACGCUGGCGGCAUGCCUAACACAUGCAAGUCGAACGAGACCUUCGGGUCUAGUGGCGCACGGGUGCGUAACGCGUGGGAACCUGCCCUUAGGUUCGGAAUAACUCCCCGAAAGGGGUGCUAAUACCGGAUAAUGUCUUCGGACCAAAGAUUUAUCGCCUUUGGAUGGGCCCGCGUUGGAUUAGCUAGUUGGUAGGGUAAAAGCCUACCAAGGCGACGAUCCAUAGCUGGUCUGAGAGGAUGAUCAGCCACACUGGGACUGAGACACGGCCCAGACUUCCUCGGGAAGGAGGAGGUGGGGAAAUUUGAACAUUGGGCGAAGGCCGAACCAGCAAUGCCGCGUGAGUGAUGAAGGCCUUAGGGUUGUAAAGCUCUUUUACCCGGGAUGAUAAUGACAGUACCGGGAGAAUAAGCUCCGGCUAACUCCGUG
rnacentral:rRNA from 1 species